AUUCUGAAAAAAAGGAACCAAAAUCACCAUUACAUUAUAUCACAUUAUAAUUCCCAUCGUGCUGACAGGGCACAUCACCCAAUCUCCCAGGUCCACUAAAAUUCUCUCACUGUUCCUGCAUCAAUUACUCAGUCACAACAAGGAAUCUUUGAAUGAUGAAACAGAAUAUACAUUUUAAAAUAUGAAAGGUUAUAUUAAAUAAUUAAAUACAAACCAAUACAAACUUCCUGGCAGCCCCAAUUUAACAUUUAUAAGUAAAGGAAAGCAGAGAAGUUUGAUGAUAAAACAAACCAGUAAACAAAACAAAAUAUGUGCUUCUGCAGAGGGGUAGUGGUCUGUUCAUUAAUGUGUUUGUUUGUGUGUGUGUGUGUGUGUGUGUGUGCGUGCCUGCGUGCAUGUGUGUGUAGGUGUGUUUGUGGGUUUGUGUGUGUAUAUGUUUGUGUGUGUGUGUCGAUGGUUGUACUGGUGUGGGUCUAUAUGUGUGUGCGUGUAUGUGUGCGUGUCUGUGUGUAUGUGUAUGUACAUGUACAUUUUAAAGUAUGAAAGGUUAUAAUAAAUAAUUAAAUACAAACCAACACAAACUUCCAAUUUUGCUAAAUGGUGUCUAUAAAAUUUACUGCAUUAUUAUUGUACCUUUUAGUUUCUUUGGUACCCAGCGUGCGUUGGGGUCAGUGCAAACUUUGCCAUUGUUCUUUGUCCGAAAUCUGGAGAGGUGAAAGCAGAUGUCAGACAACUAAAUUCAACAGUAAUUCUAAAUAUUUAUGCAUGUUUAGUAAGUCAUUGUUUGCACAUUUUUCCAGCAUGGGGCACAAAUAUUUUAGGACACUGUUUUUAUGGCAUGGUUUUUAUAAAAAUUAUUAUUAUUAAAGUUAUUAAUUGACAUGACUUUAUAUUCCUAAAUAUUCCCCAAGGACUAAAGGGUAAAAACGUUAGGGAUUGGAUUGGUUGGCAAUGGCAAACUCAAAGUUUGGGAGCUUAUAAUAUUAAAAUAUAUGAUUAUUUAAAUAUGACAUUUACAUUACCAGGCACACUUAGUCAAAAGGACUUACAAUAUCAUGGUAUAUUAAUUGUACAUGCAUCACAGUACAAUAACUAACAAUGAACUAUAUGUGUGAAUCGGUACAGGGCAGCCAGUAACAAAUUAAUGAGAAACAAGGUGAAAUUCAGUAAUUUGCAAGAAUAAGCAGUGAAUAUGUAAUGCAUAAAUAUGUAAAAAAUGUGUUAUACUUUUUUUUAUUCACAACUACCAUUCCUGCUUUCAAUGAAAUAGAUUUAAGAAAACAUUACAUUACAUUAGAGGGAUUUCGCAGACACUCUUAUCCAGCAGAAUAUAUGCUGAAGCAAUGCAGGUUAAGUACCUUGCUCAAGAGUACAACGGCAGUGACUGACCGGGGAAUCUGACCUGUGACAGGUUACAAAACCAACUCCUUACCCAUUAUACACUGCCUGGCCAAAAAAAAAAGUUGCACACUAAUAUUUUGUUGGACCGCCUUUAGCUUUGAUUACACCACACAUUCGUUGUGGCAUUGUUUCGACAACCUUAUGCAACGUCACAACAUUUAUUUCCAUCCAGAAUUGCAUAAAUUUUUGGCCGAGAUCUUGUAUUGACGACGGGACAGUCAAACCACUCCGUAAAGUCACAUCCCAAAGACUUUCAAUGGGGUUAAAGUCAGGACUCUGUGCUGGCCAAUUCAUGUGAAAAUGAUUCCUCAUGCUCCCAGAACCACUCUUUCACAAUUUGAGCCCAAUGAAUCUUAGCAUUGUUGUCCUGGAAUAUGCCCGUGCCGUCAGGGAAGAAAAAAUCCAUUGAUGGGAUAACUGAAUCCCAAACUCUACCAUCUUUUUUAUAUUGAAAUGUAUUUUGAAAUGAAUUGUAUACUACAUUAAUGAUCCUGAUAAUCAGGAUCUGGUAAUCUUGAAAAGUCUGAAUCUGGAUCAGGGUGAUCCUAUCCUGAAUUGCUUUGAAAUACCAGGACAAAAUGUGGCUGAGUUGUCUGAACCUGGAUCACAAAAUAUGGGAUUUCAAAAUAUGAUCGGAUCUGAUUGAGAUAAAAAGUUUUGAACUCCUGGGCCCAGAUCAUAACACUGCCUCCAGAGGCUUGUACAGUGGGCACUGUCCAAAAAAAUCCAAAUGGCGACUUUUUUUUGGCCAGGCAGUGUAUCACACUGCUGCCUCACUCAAGACCCGGCCCAGUCAUCCAUUUUUAGCAUGAUCGUGGGUGUGCCAUUUUUGAGGUGCAUGAAAUAUAAAAUAUAACUGUGGAUAAGGACAAUUAAGAAGCAAAUAAAUAAUAAGAGCUUACACGAUGGCAUGCAAACAAGGACCCAAGGCGUUCUGGUGUGUGUAGCUGAUAAUCUCAUCGCGGAUUUUUUUCGGAAUCAUGGAACUCAGUGACUCGCAGCAGAUGAUGACCUUAGUCGGACGACGAUCUGAAAACACAUCAGAGAGUCAAUAUCAGUGGCUUUGAAUUGAAAAGUUUUUAAAUUCCAGCAAGGGGUCCAGAAAGCCAGUCCCCUGAUUCUGUUUUAUAUACAGUACCAGAAACUAUCUUAUCUGAAAACCAUCUGAACAACACAGAACCAUGGGGCGGCUGAAACCGAUUAAAGAGUUUAAACAUUACAGUCUGUGGUUUGAUAUUUUAACAGUGUAGUAAGAUGCACAUUGUAUUGCCUGAAUAUGUCAGAUUAAAAGGCCACUCCUCCACAUGUACACACACACACACCGUACCCUCACAUAUUUCCACAAACACAUUCAAACUGUCCAGGAUAUAAGAAGCAGAAUAUCUGUUUUAAAAAGGAAUCCUGUGUUUUACUAUUUAUAGUCCUGCUGUACAUGAUUGCUAGGCAUGAUACUUACAGUUGGUCAGCUAUGCAGCAAUGCCACACACAAGUGGAAUAAGCCUUAUUGCAAAUCCCCAAAAGCCCUUCCUGUUUAAAAGGUACUGGAAGGAUGGAUGAACAUAUAGGCAAAAGAUGUUUUGAGCUGAACACAUUUCCCUUAUCAGUACAAAAGUGGCAAUAGGCACUCACCCAUCUCCCAUCACACUACCCAUAUUGCCAUAAAACCACAGGGCAAGGGCAAAACAUGCCCACACUGAUAGGAAGAAAAAACUUGACUAUUUAGUGAAGCCAGCAUUAGGUGUGAGUGUGCAUAGUUAAUGAAAACCUAUGUAAUAAUUAUAUGUAAUAUAUAUAAUCCUAAUAGCCAAUUUAAUAUAAAGCAUGAAUGAAUAUCCAUGGAAAAAAGUAUUUCUUAGUUAUUUUGGCUUAAUAAUGUAAGCUUGUUCUGGCUCUCAUUAUCUACAACUGUUCUUUGGUACAAGAACCUGCACUGAUUGUGCAGUGGGAUUUUAUACCCUCUGAACCCUGUUAAAUCUUUUUCAGUGAGUCAACAGUGUUGGCCUGCCUCUCCACAUGUGUGAAAAUGAAACAACUGAAAAGUCAAAUGAAACACUUGAGAGGGACUUGUAUAUGACCCCCACUUUGUGCUGUGAAUUCAGUAUCAAUAUUAAUUCCCUCCAUUGCAGGAAAGGCUUUCCAAAACCCGGUAGGAUUUCUGUUCUAAAAGAAGAGUUGAAUGAGAUGACACGUCAGCCAGCUGGUGAUCGUCACGACAGCCACGAUCGGCAUGCGCGGAAAGAUGCUUGGGAAAUUAAAUUGAACACUUUGUCUGUGUACUGUAAAGCUGAACAAGGUAUGAACUGAAUGGACAUAUGGAAGACGCACUCUUCCAGGCUGACUACAGAAAGCAUGUCUUGCAUUUACAGGUCCAUCGCCCUUACAGUUAGAUAUAAAAGCACUCCCGUAACGAGUACAAUAAAAAUCACGAAUAAUAUUCUGUAUAUGCACAGAAUGAUAUAUCGAUGUUUUAUGUCUCUAAAUCAAAUAUAUUCUUGUACGAAUGAUGCAUUUUAAAUGCAUUUAAAUAAAUUAUUUGAAACUUAA